AUCAAGCUUAAAUUGCUUCUCUUUAUAUACACGUGAAACUUUAACUCGAUCUGAAAUAUUAGGCGUUUUUUUUUCCGAUAUUCAAAUUCAAUUUUCUAUGGUUCUGGUUAAGCUAUUCUCACAAAAUUUUGCACAAACUUGAAAUGGUCAUUCUAUAUAACCAUGUCAAAAUAUCAAUUAGACGAGAUUUGUAAUCAAGGAAAUAAUGAGUAUUUUAUUUUCAGUAUUAUUCUUGAAAUUUGUAUGGUCCAUUUCCUAUAGUUCUGAUGAUGUGAUCAUCCUGAAAUUUUUCAUGGAGCUAGCGAUUGGUAUUUCAUAUCGACAUGCAAAAGUUCAAGUCAAUGAGCGUCUUAUCAGCAAAACGUCCAGAAAAGGUAAGGUGCCUUCCUGUGAUUCGAUUUCAAUGGUGAAUUUUAAUCGUGAAUGUACGCUGUUAAACACAGUGAUGGUCUCAUCUGCCUUAUCGGCUGGUAUCGACGUGCAGAUAUCAUCCACGUAUCUCUUAAAAAUAGGUGUGCAGAAGGAAAGUCGGCCUAGAGCGAUCUUUUGAAUUUCUACCAUAACAAUGUCAGCCACCACAGGAGCAAGACAGUUCCCCAUUCCAAGUCCAAAAAUUUGUUUAUAAUAUUUGUUGUUAAAAAUAAAGAAACUGCUUUCAACACA